rnacentral:rRNA from 1 species
AAUCAACGCUGGCGGCGUGCCUAACACAUGCAAGUCGCACGAGAAAGGGACUUCGGUCCUGAGUACAGUGGCGCACGGGUGAGUAACACGUGAAUAAUCUACCUUCGAGUGGGGAAUAACUGAGAGAAAUCUUAGCUAAUACCGCAUAAUACCCACGGGUCAAAGCAGCAAUGCGCUUGAAGAGGAGUUCGCGGCAGAUUAGUUAGUUGGCAGGGUAAUGGCCACCAAGACGAUGAUCUGUAUCCGGCCUGAGAGGGCGCACGGA